GGCCACUGCUAUUGGGAUCCGACUAAGCCAUGCGAGUCGAGAGGGUUCGGCCCUCGGCAGACUGCUCAGUAACACGUGGAUAACCUAACCUUAGGUGGAAGAUAACCUCGGGAAACUGAGAAUAAUAUUCCAUAGAUCUAGGAUGCUGGAAUGCAUCUAGAUUGAAAGUUCCGACGCCUAAGGAUGGGUCUGCGGACUAUCAGGUUGUAGUCAGGGUAAAGACCUGACUAGCCUACGACGGAUACGGGUUGUGAGGGCAAUAACCCGGAGACGAUAUCUGAGACACGAUAUCGGGCCCUACGGGGCGCAGCAGGCGCGAAAACUUCACACUGUGCGAAAGCGCGAUGAGGGAAUCCCAAGUGUUUGCUCGUAAGAGUAAACUGUUUCUUUGUUUAAAACGCAGAGAGAGUAAGGGCUGGGUAAGACGGGUGCCAGCCGCCGCGGUAAUACCUGCAGCUCAAGUGGUGAUCAUUAUUAUUGGGCCUAAAACGUCCGUAGCCGGUUUAGUAAAUGCCUGGGUAAAUCGUGUAGCUUAACUAUACGACUUCCGGGUAGACUGCUAAACUUGAGACCGGGUGAGGCUAGAGGUACUCCUGGGGUAGAGGUGAAAUUCUGUAAUCCUAGGGGGACCACCAGUGGCGAAGGCGUCUAGCUAGAACGGGUCUGACGGUGAGGGACGAAGCCCUGGGGCACAAACCGGAUUAGAUACCCGGGUAGUCCAGGGUGUAAACGCUGCUUGCUUGAUGUUAGUUGGGCUCCGAGCCCAACUAGUGUCGGAGAGAAGUUGUUAAGCAAGCUGCCUGGGAAGUACGGUCGCAAGGCUGAAACUUAA
rnacentral:rRNA from 1 species